AUUCAAGGUGGCUUUGGCUGCUUGCUUGUCAUUCUGAGUGUGGGGACACACAUGCUACCCUGGUUGUCAGCAGGUGAGAAGGGGGCUCUGAUCAGCUUCUCACUGGAUUUAGAGAAGAGCAGAUGCCCCUGAUCAGCUUCUCACUGGAUUUAGAGAAGAGCAGAUGUCCCAGACUUGUAGCUGCCAUUGCCUCUCUCUUUCGGAAAAUGAGAGUUGCUAAGAGGUGAGAUCAGGCUUUCCCAUGGGAGGAUAAGUCUUGACUGGAGGGAGGUUUAUCCAGUGUGUUCGGGUCAGAGGCUGAAUCAAACUGCAGAGGAGGUGACCAAAGGUAGAGUGGGGUGGCCCAGUGACUGGGGCAGGUGGGGGUCCUGCAUUUUACAAAAAUCUCCCUUGUUUAUUGUUAGUCAGACUAUGGGCCCUACAAUAUUAUCGAUGUGAAAAGUGCUUCCCCUUUUGGUCUCUAAAUUUUUCUUUCCUGGGCUUUAGUCCAUCUCGGACUGAUGCCUGGUACUACCAGCCUUCGGAGAGCUGUAUCAGUCUGCCCAUGCUGCCAGAACAAAAUACCACAGGCCAGGUGACUUAAAUAUCAGAAAUUUGUUUCCCACUGUUCUGGAGGCUGGAAGUCUGAGAUGAGGAUGCUGGCAGGGUUGGUUUCUCCUGACGCCUCUCUCUUUAGCUGGCAGAUGGCCGCCUUCUCCCUGGGUCCUCAAAGGGCCUUUUCUCUCUCUAUGGGAAUCCCUGGUGUCUCUUUCUUUUUGUAGAAGAACAGCAGUCCUACUGGAUUAGGCCCCAGUCUAAAGGCCUCGUGUUAAUUACCUCCUUAAAAGGCCAAUAUCAGCCGGGUGCAGUGGCUCACACCUGUAAUCCCAGCACUUUGGGAGGCCAAGGUGGGUGGAUCACCUGAGGUCAGAAGUUUGAGACCAACCUGGGCAACAUGGUGAAACCCCUUCUCUACUAAAAAUACAAAUACUUAUCCAGAUAUAGUGAUGGGUGCCUGUAAUGCCAGUUACUGGGGAGGCUGAGGUAGAAGAAUUGCUUGAACCAAGGAAGCAGAUGUAGCAGUGAGCCGAGAUCGUGCCACUGCACUCCAGCCUGGGCAACAAGAACAAAACUCCAUCUCAAAACAAAAAAAAAAAAAAAAAAAAAAGAAAGAAAGAAAAGCAAAGCAAAGCCCAAUAUCCUAAUAGUCACUUUGGGGAUUGGGGCUUCAGCCUGUGAGUUUUGGAAGGGACACAAUUCAGUCCAUCACAAAAACUCAUCCCUGAUGUCCCUGCUAGUCAGAUUAGGCUAGGCCAUGCAUUAGCAAUAAGAAUCACCAACAUCUCAGAUGUGUACAUGACCCUGUGCAUUUUUCCCUCACUCUCCGCUUGGUGCAGUUCUAGAAGAUGCAUCAGGGUAGCUGUCCUCCCCAGGGUGACUCAGAAGUCCGGGAUGACUCAAUUUUAGGGACCACCAAAGUAGCACAAGGCCCCUCAGUCAUGGCAGGGAGCAGAGAGUGUGAAGCUGUCACACCGGCUUUUCUGGGCUUUGGCUGGAAGUGCUGCAUAUCACUUGCUCUCUCUGUCCAUGUGACAGACUCGUGGUCCAGACUCGUGGCCCUGCCUAAUUGCAAGGAUCGGAAAAGUGAGAUCAUGAGUGACUGUUACAGCAGCAAAAAUAAACUAAGACACUGUGAACAAAGGGAACCUGUUAAUAUAUUUAUCCAACUCAGUGAAAAGAUUUUGCUGGACAGAAUGACAAUCUUCAUCCCCUGGGAACACUAAUAUCAGUUACUUUUAUUGAUACAACCUGGGUAUGCUGCCUGAAGAUGUGAAGCCCCUUCAGCCUUCUGAUAGCAAAUACAGUGGCUCAGGCCUGCAUCCCACAUAACAGAAGGAGUGAAACACAUGCCUGUGGGCGUGUAACAUUCAGAAAGAACUGAAUGUUGGUGUGUACAGUCGUGUCUAUCACAACCUCCUGUAUGAGAAAGAUAAUUGUAGUAUCAAUUGCUAUUGGGUAUUGAGUGGCAAACACUGUGCUCAAAAAGUAUAUAAAAUACUCAGUGUUAGCACUAAAUUAAAAAAAAAUUACUUACUUCUUUCAACAACCCUAUGAUGAGGAACUAUUAGCCUUAAAUUUUGGAGGAACAAAUUGACCCAGUAGGAAUAGUAAGAAUGCGAGAGCUUAUAUGCACAUGGAAUGAAGUGCCUAGAAUUUUUGAGCCUGUUGCAGUCACUUUGUGAAGGAAGCUCAGGCUUAAAAAGGAGAUGAGAGAGCAAGGGAUGGCAAAGGAGACCUGGAACUACAGGGAGCUGGUGGCAGCUCAGCAGUUGGCCAGUGAGGCGGUCCCUGGGAUGGGGGAUGGUACAUACAUUUUUAGUGUGCCUUCAAUCAUAUGUCUUUCCCUGCCUGUGCAGUAAUUACCUGCUGUUAUCCCAG
rnacentral:lncRNA from 1 species